ACGCGAGAAACCUUACCAGGUCUUGACAUCCUCUGACACUCCUAGAGAUAGGACGUUCCCCUUCGGGGGACAGAGUGACAGGUGGUGCAUGGUUGUCGUCAGCUCGUGUCGUGAGAUGUUGGGUUAAGUCCCGCAACGAGCGCAACCCUUGAUCUUAGUUGCCAGCAUUUAGUUGGGCACUCUAAGGUGACUGCCGGUGACAAACCGGAGGAAGGUGGGGAUGACGUCAAAUCAUCAUGCCCCUUAUGACCUGGGCUACACACGUGCUACAAUGGAUGGUACAAAGGGCAGCAAAGCGGUGACGCCUAGCAAAUCCCAUAAAACCAUUCUCAGUUCGGAUUGCAGGCUGCAACUCGCCUGCAUGAAGCUGGAAUCGCUAGUAAUCGCGGAUCAGCAUGCCGCGGUGAAUACGUUCCCGGGCCUUGCACACACCGCCCGU
rnacentral:rRNA from 1 species